GUAUAAUGGGUCAGCGACUUAUAUUCUGUAGCAAGGUUAACCGUAUAGGGGAGCCGUAGGGAAACCGAGUCUUAACCGGGCGUUAAGUUGCAGGGUAUAGACCCGAAACCCGGUGAUCUAGCCAUGGGCAGGUUGAAGGUUGGGUAACACUAACUGGAGGACCGAACCGACUAAUGUUGAAAAAUUAGCGGAUGACCUGUGGCUGGGGGUGAAAGGCCAAUCAAACCGGGAGAUAGCUGGUUCUCCCCGAAAGCUAUUUAGGUAGCGCCUCGUGAAUUCAUCUCCGGGGGUAGAGCACUGUUUCGGCUAGGGGGCCAUCCCGGCUUACCAACCCGAUGCAAACUGCGAAUACCGGAGAAUGUUAUCACGGGAGACACACGGCGGGUGCUAACGUCCGUCGUGAAGAGGGAAACAACCCAGACCGCCAGCUAAGGUCCCAAAGUCAUGGUUAAGUGGGAAACGAUGUGGGAAGGCCCAGACAGCCAGGAUGUUGGCUUAGAAGCAGCCAUCAUUUAAAGAAAGCGUAAUAGCUCACUGGUCGAGUCGGCCUGCGCGGAAGAUGUAACGGGGCUAAACCAUGCACCGAAGCUGCGGCAGCGAACGUAUCACCCAAGACAACUUUACGGAGUUGACGAUUGACGGAGCGAAGCGACGUCAAAGCGUUCAUUAAAGUCGAGUUGGCUUAGGGAUACGUUCGUUGGGUAGGGGAGCGUUCUGUAAGCCUGUGAAGGUGUGUCGUGAGGCAUGCUGGAGGUAUCAGAAGUGCGAAUGCUGACAUAAGUAACGAUAAAGCGGGUGAAAAGCCCGCUCGCCGGAAGACCAAGGGUUCCUGUCCAACGUUAAUCGGGGCAGGGUGAGUCGACCCCUAAGGCGAGGCCGAAAGGCGUAGUCGAUGGGAAACGGGUUAAUAUUCCCGUACUUGGUGUUACUGCGAAGGGGGGACGGAGAAGGCUAUGUUGGCCGGGCGACGGUUGUCCCGGUUUAAGCGUGUAGGUGUGUGUUCCAGGUAAAUCCGGUUCACUUUAACACUGAGGCGUGACGACGAGGCACUACGGUGCUGAAGCAACAAAUGCCCUGCUUCCAGGAAAAGCCUCUAAGCAUCAGGUAACACGAAAUCGUACCCCAAACCGACACAGGUGGUCAGGUAGAGAAUACCAAGGCGCUUGAGAGAACUCGGGUGAAGGAACUAGGCAAAAUGGUGCCGUAACUUCGGGAGAAGGCACGCUGACACGUAGGUGAAGUGAUUUACUCAUGGAGCUGAAGUCAGUCGAAGAUACCAGCUGGCUGCAACUGUUUAUUAAAAACACAGCACUGUGCAAACACGAAAGUGGACGUAUACGGUGUGACGCCUGCCCGGUGCCGGAA
rnacentral:rRNA from 1 species